UACGGAGGGAGCAAGCGUUACUCGGAAUUAUUGGGCGUAAAGGGCGCGUAGGCGAUUUGAAAAGUCUUGUGUGAAAGCCCCGAGCUUAACUCGGGAAGUGCACAAGAAACUGUUGAAUUUGAGUUCCGGAGAGGAAGGCAGAAUUCCCGGUGUAGCGGUGAAAUGCGCAGAUAUCGGGAGGAACACCGGUGGCGAAGGCGGCUCACUGGCUCAUUACUGACGCUCAGGCGCGACAGCGUGGGGAUCAAACAGGG
rnacentral:rRNA from 1 species